UUCAGCCAAUGAAACAGUAGAACGAUCAAUUUAAUAAAGGUGACAUUUUUCCAGGCAUGUAUUUUGGAGAAAGAAAGGAAAUUGAGCAUGUGAGGCAGGUAAAGAAAAUACCAAUGUUGGUUAGAAUCAAUAAAUUUUCACAUCUAUUAAGUUAAAAAAAUGUAGCCAGGGUACUUUUGGGAGAGAAAUGGGAAAGUAGUUACUAGGAAUGUUGGGUGCUUGAAACUGAGAAUCAGCUAUGGGUAAAAUUCUUAGUAAUAAUAUCACUGCUGAGGUAGUGUAGAGGAAAACUCCCUGAAAAGAUUAAGGAAGUCAGAGGCUUUGAUAUCCUCUCGUUGUCAACAUGAAUAUAAACAUUACCAAAUAUUAUGACAGGAAUAUUUUAACAAAAAGGUUAAAUAACCAGGACAUCUGUGGUUGAUUGUAACCAACAAGGGUAAUGAGAGGUGAUAAUCUGUUUGAAAAAGACUGAAACCUGGGCGUUUACAGUAAAAAAUACGUGAGAAUGGAGAAAAUGAGGUACCUAUACCCCUCCAGAGAGGGGCUGAUAUUUGGAAUGAAAAGCAAAGUGCACAUUCAGAGCACAACCAAGAGAUUACAGAGCACUGUUACUUCGCUGAUGUGAUCCCUUUAGUGUCCUCAAGAGGAUGGGACGCAUGUAAAUCCUACAAGAGACAACUGUAUACGUAAAUGAAUACAUUUGCACUAAGAAAUAUUACUUUAAAGUGUUCCAGAUACUUCAAUAGGUUGAGAUAUUAGAAAAAUAAAGCAUUUUCUUAAUAUGUUGCAUUUAAAUCCCGUAGUUUCAACAGUUGAGAGUAUUGUCAGACACCAUAAUGAUUUAUUUAUUUGUGUAUUUAUUUGAACCAUGAUAGUUUCAAGUAUGCAUGUUGUCUGCUGAGACCUCAGAAUUUUGAGAAUAAAAUGUUUUAAUCAUGUUCUUGUUUUGUUUCCCGGUUUGCUUAGCCAUAUCUGAAUAAAUAUGUUCCGUAUUUCUGAGAAUACAUCCAGUUAUAUCACAAGAUCUUUGGGGUGUUACUUCACCAGCUGGAAACCUCUGUGGCUGGUGGUACCUUCGCCCAAGUUUUUGCUCUGGCCUGCUGGGCUUGUUCUGCCUACUGGGUCUGGCAGGCUGCACUUGGCUUUUGCUACUGGCCGGGAUCCCACACCUGCCAAAAGCAAGCCAGGCACGAAGUGGUGAAAAAUGCGUGGGCAAGCAAGUGCUGGGUCCAUCCGCUGCACACAGCCAGGCUCGCCAGCUGCUGUGGCGGGUGGGUAGCUCCAGGAGCCAGCAGAGGUGCCAGCUCCGUGAAAGACUGAGGCUGGACCAGAUGUACAGCAUGCAGGCUGCGGGUACCGUGUCUGGACAAGGGGAGCACGGUGAUGCCUGGAAGUUUAGUGAUGCCAGGAACCACAGAGCCCCAAAGAGGGAGUCACAAACCUGGCUCAGGGAGCCACGAGAUCUGGGCUCCCCAAAAAGCCGCAGCUCUUCUCUCCUUCUCCUCACAUGCAAAGUGACAAUCAGGGGCGUGUGUUUCAGCCCUGUUUGUGGUUACAGCUCUUUUAGUCCCGCUGUGUCCGGAAAUGGUGGGUUCUUGGUCUCACUGACUUCAAGAAUGAAGCCGCGGACCCUCGCGGUGAGUGUUACAGCUCUUAAGGUGCCGCGUCUGGAGUUUGUUCCUCCUGAUGUUCGGAUGUGUUCCGAGUUUCUUCCUUCUGGUGGAUUCGUGGUCUCGCGGGCUCAGGAGUGAAACUGCAGACCUUCGCGGUGUUACAGCUCAUAAAGGCAGUGUGCACCCAGAGUGAGCAGCAGCAGGAUUUACGGAGAAGGUGGGCGGCUCAGGCAUGGCGGACUGCAGGUCCUGAGCCCUUUCCCGCGGGAAGGCAGCUAAGGCCCGGCGAGAAAUUGAGCGCAGCGCCGGUGGGCCGGCACUGCUGGGGGACCCAGUACACCCUCCGCAGCUGCUGGCCCGGGUGCGAAGCCCCUCAUUGCCCGGGGCCGGCAGGGCCGGCCGGCUGCUCCGAGUGCGGGGCCAGCCAGGCCCACGCCCACCCGGAACUCCAGCUGGCCCGGAAGCGCCGCGCGCAGCCCCGGUUCCGGCUCGCGCCUCUCCCUUCACACCUCCCUGCAAGCUGAGGGAGCCGGCUCCGGCCUCGGCCAGCCCAGGAAGUGGCUCCCACAGUGCAGCGGCAGGCUGAAGGGCUCCUCAAGUGCCGCCAAAGUGGGAGCCCAGGCAGAGGAGGCGCCGAGAGCGAGCGAGGGCUGUGAGGACUGCCAGCACGCUGACACCUCUCACCGCCAUUUGCCAGGUCCAGAGUUCUUGUCCUACAUCCAGGAAGAAUGAAGUACGUGGACAACUGGAAAGACUGAUUCCUUAUCCAACAUCACUUUCUGGACUACCUAGAAUCCAACUAUCAUGUCUUUCACCAAGAUGUCAUCUUGUGGGCUAGUCCGUUGGACCUACUUGACCAAUCAGACACUAUCCUAAUCUCCAUAAUGUGAUACCUCCUGAGAGGCAGCCAUUUGACACAGACACUUUUCUCAGUUUGCUCAGGCUCCAACGCCAUGAUCUGCUAUGCAACUCUCUCCACAGUCUCCAUCAUGGAUACCUGCCUUUUAUUCCAACACCUAAUGUUUUAGUAUUAAAUCAUUCCAUAUGAUAAGAGUAGAGAGGUGAAAGAGGAAGACUCAUUCAACGGAAGUUGAUCUGCUGUGUUUUCACAAUUAUUCCAUACAUAACAUUUUCUAAUAUCUUUGUUACUUCUUUUUUUGACUCAGUUACAUAGAAAUAUUUUUCUUAAUUUCCAAAUAUAUGAGUAUAUUCCUUAUAAUUUUGCUAUUGAUCUUUAAUCUCAUUCCAUUGAUUUUAAAGAUUGUUCUCUUUAAGACUGCAAUACAUUGAAUUUGUUAGGCCUUUCUAUUGCCUAUCAUAUGGUCACAUUUGGUGAAUUUUCAAUGUGCUCUUGAGGGAAAAAAAAAGUGUAUUCUAGAGUUGAUUCGUUUAAUGCAGUAUAAAUAAUAUUAUGUUAUGUUAUUUUAAUUUUUCUGAAUACUUAGUGAUUUUUAAAAAACCAUCCAUACCGAUUUCCAAGAAGGAGUAUUAAAACCUCCACUAGUAAUUGUGGAUGUGCCUAUAUCUGUUUUUAGUUGUCUCCAAUUUUGAAUUUUUUAUCUUUAGUAUGGAAAAAUAAGCAUUUUUAUUUCUUGUAAAAAUUAAUUAUUUAUUAUAAAAUAUCCGUUUUUAUUAAUGGCAAAUAUCUUUGUCUUGAUGCCUACUUUAUCUGAUAUUCAAAAAAACCAGCCUGGCUUCUUUAUGCUUACUAUUUCAAAAUAUAUCUUUUCUACCCUUUUACUUUCAUUCUCCCAGUGUCUUCAUAUUUAAAGAAAUUAAAAAAUAGGAAAUGUAUAUGUAUAUACAUAUAAUACAUAUUUCCACUUAUAGUGAACAUUUGUUAACAUUUUCAGUGCUUUGUUUCAUUAUUGUGUUUGUUUCUGUUGACUAUAUUUUUCUUUUGGUUAUAUGUCUCAUUUAUCUUCUUUUUUCCGUAUCUCAAUUUUGUUUGUCUAUGCUGGCAUUGGAGGUUCUAAAUUGUUGAGAGUCUGGAUUUAAUUUUAUUUCUUUAGAGAGUUUUGAAAUUUGUUCUAGAAGACAAUUAAUUUAGUGGUGAAUUAGCUCUGUCUUGUGAAGGCUUAUGUUUAGCUCUGACACUGCUGGUCUAAAGCACUGCACUUAAAACGAGACCUUCCUGGGACCACAAUUGAUUGUCUAGAUAAUGAGUGAGGUUGUUGUUCUCUAGCUGAUUUUAGGUAUAAUGUCUCUGAUCACCGUGAGACUCUAGAGUUUUUACAUACCUCACAACCUUUUAGUAGGCUGUUCGCCGAGCUGAUAUCUGUUAUCUCCCAUACUUUAUGGAGUUUCACAUUGAAUAUUUUCAAUUUAAUAAUGGACCAAAGAGUCAAAAAGACCUAUUCAAACUUUUGGAGCUUCUUUUUUUCAUAGUUAUCUCAUCUCUGGUACUCUGCCCUGCAAAUUCCAGCUACAUCAGCAAACCAGAAUGCAGCUCUCUUUUAUGUUGUUCUGUUUUAAACGUAUUUCUCUGUACUGAAGUUUAGAAAACGACUCCAUGUGGACAACCAGGGUAAUUGUGGCACUCACCUAAAACGUUUCUCUUAUUUCAACGAUAGUGCUUUUAUGAUCUUUGUUGUGUAAUGUACAAAAAAAAAGUUUAAUGUCAUCUACCAUGUUUUAUAAAUGUAUGCGAUGUGAGAGUGAGGACGACACCCUCUACUCUGUCCUUGCUGGAAUUGGAAGUCAACCAUUAAGUCUUAAUUAAGCCUUUCUCUUCAGCUUUCUUGUCUUCCCUCCUUAUAUUAUCUCUCUAUGCGAUGUCAUUCUUCAAUAAAUCACAUCUCAAUCUAA